GAAGAGAAAAGGUUUACGGUGACCAUUGGCGAAGACGAACGGGAAUUUGACAAAGAAAAUGAAGUUUUUCGAGAUUGGAAUUCUCGGAUCCCGAGAGAUGUCAGAGACACAGUACUCGAGCCUUACGCAGACCCUUAUUAUGACUAUGAAAUUGAGCGGUUUUGGCGUGGCGGACAGUAUGAGAAUUUCAGGGUGCAGUAUACAGAAACAGAGCCGUAUCAUAAUUACCGAGUGGGCUGCAGGGUCCUGCUGCUUACCCCUGGGCAGGGUACCCUGGAA
rnacentral:lncRNA from 1 species